CAUUUUUGGGGCCAAAACAUAGAGAGGAAGCAGAGAACGAAAUUGGAGAAAAAGAGGGAGAAAAAGGGAAGGAAAAAAGAAAAGAAAAAAGAAAAGAAAGGAAAUGAAAGAGGUUGAUGAUUUUUGAAAGUUUGGGUUCUUCAUUUCUUCAACUUAUCCUUAUUUUAAAGAGGUAAGUUAAUUAAAUUUCUAGAGUUUAUAAACCAUUCAUAUAUAUUCGAAGUUUAGCAAGAAUUAGAGAUUAUUAUUGUUAUAUUUUUGAGGUAUUAAGCAAGAAUAUAUCAAAGAAAUGUUAUUAGAGUAUUGAAAUUGAAGAAAGUUGAAUUUUGAAAUGGGUUUGUAAUUUAGAGCUUGAAUCUUUGAUCUAUUGUGUGUAUAUGAUAUAAAACACCUUAUUUGUGAUUAAUUAUAGUGAGAUAUGAAGUUAAGAUUAUAUUUUGGAAAUUAUAAGCAAUUUUCGUGCAAAAUUCAUGUGCAGUUGCCAAUUCUGAAAAUCUGCCCAGAAUGGUGCUAAUUCUGUCAAAGGUUUUGCUGCCAGAUUUUGAUGUUAUGGGGCUUUAGUGCUGUUUUUGUCAAAACUCUUAUUUUCAGAUUUUUAAAGGCUUGAAUGAAGUUAUAUGACAAGGGUUGAAGUUCAUGUAUUGGAAUAAAUUAUGUAUAGAGGUUAUAUAUGUAUAAGUUAUUGAUUUUAAGGAAGUGUGCGUAUUUUAAUGGAAUUGAUAAUGAAUGGUGAUUAGUUGAUAAAUCAUUAGAGAGGAGAAAAGUUGGAAAAUUGGAGAUGUAAGAGUAAAUAUAGAAAUUAAGAAGUUGAGAAGUAGAAUUGUGUUAAUUUAAUUGCCUGAUUUUAAUUUGAGAAAUUAUACCGUUAUUUCAGGUAGAGACAUGAAAGCUUGGAAUGACACGUCAAUUUAGGCAGAUUUCUAUUCAUGGAUCUGUGAGUAGAAAAAUAUAAAUAUUUUAAAAAUAUUUAUGAAUUAAGUAUAUUAUCAAAGUAUGUGCAAUUAUGUGUUCGAAUUAUAUGGUCAUUAUCGAAAUAUCUUUUAUUAUGAUACAUCAAUUUAGGCAGAUUUCUAUUCAUGGAUCUGUGAGUAGAAAAAUAUAAAUAUUUUAAAAAUAUUUAUGAAUUAAGUAUAUUAUCAAAGUAUGUGCAAUUAUGUGUUCGAAUUAUAUGGUUAUUAUCGAAAUAUCUUUUAUUAUGAUACAUA
rnacentral:lncRNA from 1 species